rnacentral:lncRNA from 1 species
CCCAUAUUGGAGGUUAGUUUAUACAUUAUAAUAUACUUAAGAUAUCUAGUCUUAUUUCCUAAUGUAUUAAUAUUUAUACUAGGUUCUCGAUGUAAGUAGCUGCCAUGAACAAGCUAUGUAGACAGCAUGAAUGCCAUUUCAAGGUAAAAAUUCCUUUCCUUUUUUCUAUUUGAAUGUAUGUUGCUUAUCGCUAUUCCGCAACUUGUUAUCUCUAUAAUAUCCAUGUUAGAAUAAGAGAAAUAUGUUGUUAAAUCCUUGCUUUCAAUCAUAUUGCAAGUCUGUUAGGAUAGCAAUUUUAAUCAAUUCCCGCAUGUUCCAGAUUAUUUCAAACUUCUAAAU